rnacentral:piRNA from 1 species
UUACAAUCUCAAAGCCUGGAGCACCACCCU